AGCAUAGAGAGCUUGCUCUCUGAUGGCGAGUGGCGAACGGGUGAGUAAUAUAUCGGAACGUGCCUAGUAAUGGGGAAUAACUAGCUGAAAGGUUAGCUAAUGCCGCAUACGACCUACGGGUGAAAGCAGGGGAUCUUCGGACCUUGCGUUAUUAGAGCGGCCGAUAUCUGAUUAGCUUGUUGGUGGGGUAAUGGCCUACCAAGGCGACGAUCAGUAGCUGGUCUGAGAGGACGAUCAGCCACACUGGAACUGAGACACGGUCCAGACUCCUACGGGAGGCAGCAGUGGGGAAUUUUGGACAAUGGGGGCAACCCUGAUCCAGCCAUUCCGCGUGAGUGAAGAAGGCCUUCGGGUUGUAAAGCUCUUUCGCAAGAGAAGAAAACUUACUAUCUAAUAAAUAGUAAGUAUGACGGUAUCUUGACAAGAAGCACCGGCUAACUACGUGCCAGCAGCCGCGGUAAUACGUAGGGUGCAAGCGUUAAUCGGAAUUACUGGGCGUAAAGCGUGCGCAG
rnacentral:rRNA from 1 species